GGCGAUGUACGCCAGCGAAUGUCAGCGCACGCUCAUCGCUUCCCUGACACGGAAGAGGUCACUGGUUCGAUCCCAGUAUCGCCCA
rnacentral:tRNA from 1 species